rnacentral:rRNA from 1 species
GCUUUUCUUGGGUCGGUGGGCGCUAGGGUGGAAUAGGACCGGGACCGAGGACUGCCGCGGCGGGGCGGGGUGGAGGAGGGGACGUGGGCCGCGGCGGAGCGGGGUGGGGUGGAGGAGGGGACGAGGGCCGCGGCGGAGCAAGGUGGAGGAGGGGCCGAGCGCCGCGGCGGGGCGGAGUGGAGGCCAGGAUGAGGGCCGCGGCGGGGUAGGGUGGAGGAGGAGCUGAGCGCCGCGGCGGGCCGGGGCUUGGAGGUUCGAGGGGUGUAGGCCCCCGGCGGAGCUGGGAUGGGGGAGGGAUCCAGGGCCGCGGCGGGCCGGGGGUAAGAGGGGCCCAGGGGAGCUACGGACCAGGGGUUGGAGGGGCCGAGGGCCGCGGCGGUUGGCGGGACGAGGGGACCGAGGCCAUCGACGGGGGCGGACAAGGGGAGGGCGCCCCUACUGUCGCGCUUAGGCCUGACGCACCACCCCGUCACUCAGAGCAGCCUCACCUCGAGGAGGCGGAGAUCGGUAGCCAUCAAGUAAGGGUCCCACGAGCAGCCGCUAGUGUUCUUCGUCCGGCAGUUCCUCGACCCACUGUACCACGUCGCCACACCGGUCAAGUUGAUGGACUUGACAAACUGUCCAUACUGGUCACUGUCGCUCAUCCGCCGAUCACAUGACGCCGCUCGUUCCUCUGUCUCCGUACCUCAUCUACACACACCGCUCGGCGAGUACCGGCUACGUCGCCGACAGAGAUGACGGCCGAAGGUCACGAUGGGGCGGUCAACGGCAACGGGGUGCAACACACAAAACCUCGGGGUGCAACCGGGUUCGACGAUACUACACAACAGUGGUAAAUAUUAGACAAUUUACUGGCCAUACAAGAACAACAGUCAAGUACACACAGGAACAACAGUCCAGCACAAGUAGAAAAUAUCAGUCAAGUACAUGUACACACAAACAUUAGUGCCACACAAGAUUAUUGAAGAAAGUCUUUGGUGAAACAUCGAGACAAGUCGAUACCCAAGAGGCAAGGGUCUUUCGAUUUGUAGUCAAGAAGAUUAAACAUUUCUUUUACAUCAAAAAGCCUAAUUGUAUUCUUGUGCUGAAGAAACUACAUCACGG